AAUCAACGCUGGCGGCAGGCUUAACACAUGCAAGUCGAACGCCCCGCAAGGGGAGUGGCAGACGGGUGAGUAACGCGUGGGAAUCUACCCAAUUCUACGGAACAACACAGGGAAACUUGUGCUAAUACCGUAUACGCCCUACGGGGGAAAGAUUUAUCGGAAUUGGAUGAGCCCGCGUUGGAUUAGCUAGUUGGUGGGGUAAUGGCCUACCAAGGCGACGAUCCAUAGCUGGUCUGAGAGGAUGAUCAGCCACACUGGGACUGAGACACGGCCCAGACUCCUACGGGAGGCAGCAGUGGGGAAUAUUGGACAAUGGGCGAAAGCCUGAUCCAGCCAUGCCGCGUGAGUGAUGAAGGCCUUAGGGUUGUAAAGCUCUUUCAGUGGGGAAGAUAAUGACGGUACCCACAGAAGAAGCCCCGGCUAACUUCGUGCCAGCCGCCGCGGUAA
rnacentral:rRNA from 1 species